rnacentral:misc_RNA from 1 species
AAGUCGUAACAAGGUUUCCGUAGGUGAACCUGCGGAAGGAUCAUUAUUGAAUGAAUGUAGAGUUGGUUGUGCUGGCCCCUUGGGGCAUGUGCACGCCUUCUCUUUCAUCCACACACACCUGUGCACUUGUGAGACGGAAGCCUUUCGGGGAGUCCGUCUGCUCCACAUAAACUCAUAUAUUUAAAACGAAUGUAAUUGAUGUAACACAUCUUUAAACUAAGUUUCAACAACGGAUCUCUUGGCUCUC